rnacentral:rRNA from 1 species
UACGGAGGGAGCUAGCGUUGUUCGGAAAUACUGGGCGUAAAGCGCACGUAGGCGGCGCAGCAAGUCAGGGGUGAAAUCCCGGGGCUCAACCCCGGAACUGCCCUUGAAACUGCAGUGCUAGAAUUCUGGAGAGGCGAGUGGAAUUCCGAGUGUAGAGGUGAAAUUCGUAGAUAUUCGGAAAGAACACCAGUGGCGAAGGCGGCUCACUGGCCCGGUACUGACGCUGAGGUGCGAAAGCGUGGGGAGCAAACAGG